rnacentral:rRNA from 1 species
GCGGACGGGUGCGUAACACGUAGCUACUUGCCCCACAGUGGGGGAUAACCCGGGGAAACCCGGGCUAAUACCGCAUACACCCGAGAGGGGAAAGCCGUAAGGUGCUGUGGGAUAGGGCUGCGGCGUAUCAGGUAGUUGGUGGGGUAACGGCCUACCAAGCCGAUGACGCGUAGCUGGUCUGAGAGGAUGAUCAGCCACACUGGAACUGAGACACGGUCCAGACUCCUACGGGAGGCAGCAGUGGGGAAUCUUGGGCAAUGGGGGAAACCCUGACCCAGCAACGCCGCGUGGAGGAAGACGCCCUUCGGGGUGUAAACUCCUU